AUGAGCUGUCCUGUAAAGGGGCCACAUGGUGAGGAACUGAGGAUUCCAGCCAACCGCCACACCAGUGAACUUGGAAACAGAUCCUGCAGUCCUUGCCAGCAGCUUGACUUUGUAGAGACCUCAUGAGGAACCCUGAGCCAGACCACAAAACCAAGCCACUCCUAGAUUCCUGGCCCUUAGACACAGUGCUAGCCUACUGUUUGCCCAGGGCUCAUCGAACUCUCUUUGUGUUGUCUGUGGGAAUUGGAGUUUGAAGACCUGGUGCAAGAACAUGCUGAUCCUCUGGUCACUGCUACUUCUGUGAGUGAUAAAGUCCUCGGUCUCUAACCCAAGAGUAUCUGGUGCUCUGCCAGCAUUCAGGAAACUCUAACAGGCUAAACUUGUUGGCUUGCAAGUAGAGUAAAAUCACAGAAUCUUCACAGUUCUUGCCACCUCAUCUAGCUGUGCCAAUUAAAUGAAAUAAUUUAUGUAAAGAACUUACUUAGGGAUUGGUACAAAGUAUAAAAUAUAUAUUGGAUAGUGAUGGUAGUACUGUCCUAGAUAAAAAAUAGACAUAAAUAGUCCAUU
rnacentral:lncRNA from 13 species